rnacentral:rRNA from 1 species
AUUGAACGCUGGCGGCAGGCUUAACACAUGCAAGUCGAACGAGUGGAGGACGGGUGAGUAAUGGAUGGGAACCUGGCUAAUGGAGGGGGAUAACUACGGGAAACCGUAGCUAAUACCGCGUACCAUAGGAUGAGCCCAAGUGGGAUUAGGUAGUUGGUGGGGUAAAGGCUCACCAAGGCGACGAUCCCUAGCUGGUCUGAGAGGAUGACCAGCCACACUGGGACUGAGACACGGCCCAGACUCCUACGGGAGGCAGCAGUGGGGAAUAUUGCGCAAUGGGGGCAACCUGACGCAGCCAUGCCGCGUGAAUGAAGAAGGCCUUCGGGUUGUAAAGUUCUUUCGGUAGCGAGGCGUUAACUACAGAAGAAGCACCGGCUAACUCCGUGCCAGCAGCCGCGGUAAUUC